rnacentral:rRNA from 1 species
UCGCGUAUCGAUGAAAAACGCAGCUAGCUGCGUUAUUUACCACGAAUUGCAGACGCUUAGAGUGGUGAAAUUUUGAACGCAUAGCGCCGUUGGGUUUUCCCUUCGGCACGUCUGGUUCAGGGUUGUU